AUCCCUGUGCCCACAUCCCUGUGCUUGCCUUGUCACAGGGAUGAGGGCAGGAGGAGUGG
rnacentral:sRNA from 1 species